rnacentral:misc_RNA from 1 species
GAUGAAGAACGCAGCGAAGUGCGAUAAGUAAUGUGAAUUGCAGAAUUCCGUGAAUCAUCGAAUCUUUGAACGCAAAUUGCACUCUCUGGCAACCCGGGGAGUAUGCCUGUUUGAGGGUCAGUGUUAAUAAAAAUCGGGUUCGUUGCAAUUUUUGUGACGUUUCCGGAGUUUGAGUUAUCUUAACUUCGGUUUUAAGAGGCUUAAAAUUGACCUUUUUUUGUGCAUUUUAGACGUACAUAAAUUUUUUUUAUUCGCCUAUCCUAAUGCCAAAAUCUAUUAGAUGUGACCAUAUCUUGUGGUUUCGUGUCUAUAAAUUUUUCAUGAUUUGACCUCAAAUCAGGUAGGAACACCCGCUGAACUUAAGCAUAUCAAUAAGCGGAGGA